rnacentral:rRNA from 1 species
GAUGAACGCUAGCGGCAGGCUUAACACAUGCAAGUCGAGGGGUAUAGGUUUUCGGACCUAGAGACCGGCGCACGGGUGCGUAACGCGUAUGCAAUCUACCUUGUACAGGGGGAUAGCCCAGAGAAAUUUGGAUUAAUACCCCAUAGUAUUAUAGAAUGGCAUCAUUUUAUAAUUAAAGUUCCAACGGUACAAGAUGAGCAUGCGUCCCAUUAACUAGUUGGUAUGGUAACGGCAUACCAAGGCUACGAUGGGUAGGGGUCCUGAGGGGGAGAUCCCCCACACUGGUACUGAGACACGGACCAGACUCCUACGGGAGGCAGCAGUGAGGAAUAUUGGUCAAUGGACGCAAGUCUGUACCAGCCAUGCCGCGUGCAGGAUGACGGUCCUAUGGAUUGUAAACUGCUUUUGUACAGGAAGAAACACUCCUACGUGUAGGAACUUGACGGUACUGUAAGAAUAAGGAUCGGCUAACUCCGUGCCAGCCGCCGCGGUAA